rnacentral:rRNA from 1 species
UUUAAUGAGAGUUUGAUCCUGGCUCAGGACGAACGCUGGCGGCGUGCCUAAUACAUGCAAGUAGAACGCUGAAGAGAGGAGCUUGCUCUUCUUGAAUGAGUUGCGAACGGGUGAGUAACGCGUAGGUAACCUGCCUUGUAGCGGGGGAUAACUAUUGGAAACGAUAGCUAAUACCGCAUAACAAUGGGUGACACAUGUCAUUUAUUUGAAAGGGGCAAUUGCUCCACUACAAGAUGGACCUGCGUUGUAUUAGCUAGUAGGUGAGGUAACGGCUCACCUAGGCGACGAUACAUAGCCGACCUGAGAGGGUGAUCGGCC